rnacentral:rRNA from 1 species
CUACGGAGGGUGCAAGCGUUAAUCGGAAUUACUGGGCGUAAAGCGUACGUAGGCGGUUAUUUAAGUCAGAUGUGAAAGCCCCGGGCUUAACUUGGGAACUGCAUUUGAAACUGGGUAACUAGAGUUUAGUAGAGGGGAGUGGAAUUUCAGGUGUAGCGGUGAAAUGCGUAGAGAUCUGAAGGAACACCAGUGGCGAAGGCGACUCCCUGGACUAAAACUGACGCUGAGGUACGAAAGCGUGGGUAGCAAACAGGAUUAGAUACCCUAGUAGUCC